CCUACGGGGGGCAGCAGUGGGGAAUAGUGGGCAAUGGAGGCAACUCUGACCCAGCAAUGCCGCGUGAGUGAUGAAGGUAAUGUUAUUGUAAAGCUCUUUUCUUGGGAACGAAGAAAGGACGGGACCAAAGGAAUAAGCCCCGGCUAACUACGUGCCAGCAGCCGCGGUAAUACGGCGGGGGCAAGCGUUGUUCGGAAGGACGGGGCGUAAAGGGUGUGUAGGGGGUUUGCUAAGGUAGAUGUGUAAUACCCAGGGCUUAACUCGGGUGCUGCAUCGAAAACUGUUAGACGUGAGUACUGGGGCGGCUAGUGGACUUCCUCUUGUCGCUGUGUAAUGCUUAGAUCUUAG
rnacentral:rRNA from 1 species